GUGGUGGGGGGGGAGGGGACUAAAGAAAUCGUUCCUCUAUUUAUUAUACACCAAACAGGAAUCUGGGCUCACUGACAAAAUUUGUGCCUUUCCUAUCAAAAUACCCUCUAGGU